rnacentral:rRNA from 1 species
CUGCUGCCUCCCGUAGGAGUCUGGUCCGUGUCUCAGUACCAGUGUGGGGGACCUUCCUCUCAGAACCCCUACGCAUCGUCGGUUAGGUGGGCCGUUACCCCGCCUACUGCCUAAUGCGCCGCAUGCCCAUCCCUGUCCGGCCGAAGCCUUUCCUGCCUCCGGGAUGCCCCGGUGGCAUGUACGCGGGUUUAGCCCGCCUUUCGGCGGGUUGUCCCCCUGACAGGGGGCAGGUUGCAUACGUGUUACUCACCCGUGCGCCGGUCGCCGGCGGAGAAAG